rnacentral:rRNA from 1 species
AAGACGGAGGAAGGAGCGGGCCACGGCAGGUCAGUAUGCCCCGAAUCCCCCGGGCCACACGCGAGCUGCAAUGGCAGGGACAAUGGGUGUCGACUCCGAAAGGAGGAGGUAAUCUCUAAACCCUGCCUCAGUUGGGAUCGAGGGCUGAAACCCGUCCUCGUGAAUAUGGAAUGCCUAGUAAUCGCGCGUCAUCAUCGCGCGGUGAAUACGUCCCCGCUCCUUGCACACACCGCCCGUCGUUCCAUCCGAGUGGGGUUUGGGUGAGGCGUAGUCCUUGGUGGCUGCGUCGAACUCAGGUUCCGCAAGGAGGGAAAAGUCGUAACAAGGUGGCCGUAGGGGAACCUGCGGCCGGAUCACCUCCUAAG